UACGGAGGGUGCAAGCGUUAUCCGGAUUCACUGGGUUUAAAGGGUGCGUAGGUGGGCAAGUAAGUCAGUGGUGAAAUCUCCGGGCUUAACCCGGAAACUGCCAUUGAUACUAUUUGUCUUGAAUACUGUGGAGGUCAGCGGAAUAUGUCAUGUAGCGGUGAAAUGCUUAGAUAUGACAUAGAGCACCAAUUGCGAAGGCAGCUGGCUACACAAAUAUUGACACUGAGGCACGAAAGCGUGGGGAUCAAACAGG
rnacentral:rRNA from 1 species